rnacentral:rRNA from 1 species
GACGAACGCUGGCGGCGUGCUUGACACAUGCAAGUUGAACGGAAAGGCCCUGCUUUUGUGGGGUGCUCGAGUGGCGAACGGGUGAGUAACACGUGAGUAACCUGCCCUUGACUUUGGGAUAACUUCAGGAAACUGGGGCUAAUACCGGAUAGGAGCUCCUGCUGCAUGGUGGGGGUUGGAAAGUUUCGGCGGUUGGGGAUGGACUCGCGGCUUAUCAGCUUGUUGGUGGGGUAGUGGCUUACCAAGGCUUUGACGGGUAGCCGGCCUGAGAGGGUGACCGGCCACAUUGGGACUGAGAUACGGCCCAGACUCCUACGGGAGGCAGCAGUGGGGAAUAUUGCACAAUGGGCGGAAGCCUGAUGCAGCAACGCCGCGUGCGGGAUGACGGCCUUCGGGUUGUAAACCGCUUUCGCCUGUGACGAAGCGUGAGUGACGGUAAUGGGUAAAGAAGCACCGGCUAACUACGUG